AGGUUUGGUUCCAUUAAUUUUUUUUUGCCAAUUAGUGUACAUUACUUAUGUUGGUUAUGAAAAAGAGAAAUUGUCUUAUCAUAUCAAGAAAAAAAUCAACUGAAUUAAUUACUGAGGCUGUACACUUUCUCAUCCCUUUUUUUCCAUGGAAUUUGUUCUUAUUUGCUACAGUUUUAUUUAUUUAUUUUUUUUCCCAAUGACCUCCCUCCCUCCCUUGCAUUCUGACUGGGUUGAUGCUCAAUAUUUAUCUUUUAGAUUUUUCAGCAAUCUUUUGCAUUGCUAUAUUCUGAUAACUUCCUGGCCUUAAUCAUAAUAAAACAAUUAUUCUCACAAAAACUUACUGCAAAGUACAACAUCUAUUAUUGUAUGAUUUGAAAUCCACAAGAGGACAAUAUCUGUUGUUUUACUGGUGCUUAUGUUGAAGAUGGAUGAUUAUAGCUUUUUAUUUGUAUGAGACAGCAAGGAAGAAGCACUGAAGCUGAAAUUGAAUUUGAGAAACUUUUAGGUGGAGCAAAUGUCAAAUUUGCAAUGCAAGAGUUAUCCAAAUUAGAUAGAGGGGAUGACACAGACACUAUGAAGCUCUCUGAAUUGUUUU
rnacentral:misc_RNA from 1 species